CAUUGAUUUGCCAGUGGUGGUGCAUUCAGCUGAUGGAGAGGUUUUGCCUAAAAGGGUAUGGACAGAGAUUUGCAUACUGGACAGAAGAAGCAUCCCAACUCCUUCAGGGAACCCUUGAGCCUGUCCACCACAAAACUGUUGCCCAGCAGAAGAGUUGUGGUUUAAGAGGACACUGAUAAGGUGCAACAGCUGACCAUUGUAAAAGACCUUCAUACAGCUUGGCACUGGGUUCACAAUCACAGAUAUAAUAAGUUCCAUGGGGAUGUGAGAGAGACUGCUUUUCUGCAAAUGAACAGUGAUGAACAACAAAAUGCCCUCAGGAAGGUCCUGGGGGGUGAAUUCUCCAAUACAAAGGAUGACUUUUUGUUUAUAUUUCAGUGUCAAGAGGACAUGGAAACAUUUUUGUCAUACUGUGUUGAUGAACAAGGCCUGAAGGUCAAUGCCAUGUUCCAGUG